UUUCCGUAGGUGAACCUGCGGAAGGAUCAUUACAGAGUUCAUGCCCUCACGGGUAGAUCUCCCACCCUUGAAUAUUUAUACCUUAGUUGCUUUGGCAGGCCGUGGAAACACCAUGGGCUCCGGCUUAUGCGUGCCUGCCAGAGGAAACAAACUCUGUGUUUAGUGAUGUCUGAGUACUAUAUAAUAGUUAAAACUCUCAACAACGGAUCUCUUGGUUCUG
rnacentral:misc_RNA from 1 species